GCAUCGAUGAAGAACGCAGCGAAAUGCGAUAAGUAAUGUGAAUUGCAGAAUUCAGUGAACCAUCGAAUCUUUGAACGCACAUUGCGCCCGGCAGUAAUCUGCCGGGCAUGCCUGUCCGAGCGUCAUUUCUGCCCUCGAGCCUGUCCAGCAUCUAGGUGCUGUUCAGGUCCGGCGUUGGGGCACUACGGGAAGCCUCGUGCUAUCCCCCGUAGGCCCCGAAAUGAAGUGGCGGUCCUGCCGCGGCUCCCCCUGCGUAGUAUUACAGCUCGCUUCGGGACCCGGUGGAGGCCUGCCGUCAAACCUUACUCUCUAAGUUUGACCUCGGAUCAGGUAGGGUUACCCGCUGAACUUAAGCAUAUCAAUAAGCGGAGGA
rnacentral:misc_RNA from 1 species